rnacentral:rRNA from 1 species
AGUGAACGCUGGCGGCAGGCCUAACACAUGCAAGUCGAGCGGCAGCGGGUUCCCGCGAGGGGAUGCCGGCGAGCGGCGGACGGGUGAGGAACACAUCGGAAUCUGCCUGGUUGUGGGGGAUAACGUAGGGAAACUUACGCUAAUACCGCAUGCGACCCUGAGUCGACGGACUGGGGGUGAAAGUGAGGGACCUUCGGGCCUCACGCGACCAGAUGAGCCGAUGUCGGAUUAGCUAGUUGGCGGGGUAACGGCCCGCCAAGGCGACGAUCCGUAGCUGGUCUGAGAGGAUGAUCAGCCACACUGGGACUGAGACACGGCCCAGACUCCGUACGGGAGGCAGCAGUGGGGAAUCUUGGACAAUGGGCGCAAGCCUGAUCCAGCCAUG